UCGGGAAUAUUGCGCAAUGGAGGAAACUCUGACGCAGUGACGCCGCGUAUAGGAAGAAGUUUUUCGGAAUGUAAACUAUUGUCGUUAGGGAAGAGAAAGGACAGUACCUAAGGAGGAAGCUCCGGCUAACUACGUGCCAGCAGCCGCGGUAAUACGUAGGGAGCGAGCGUUAUCCGGAAUUAUUGGGUGUAAAGGGUGCGUAGACGGGAUAACAAGUUAGUUGUGAAAUCCCUCGGCUUAACUGAGGAACUGCAACUAAACUAUUAUUCUUGAGUGCAGGAGAGGUAAGUGGAAUUCCUAGUGUAGCGGUGAAAUGCGUAGAUAUUAGGAGGAACACCAGUGGCGAAGGCGACUUACUGGACUGUAACUGACGUUGAGGCACGAAAGUGUGGGGAGCAACAGGAUUAGAUACC
rnacentral:rRNA from 1 species